rnacentral:rRNA from 1 species
CCCAGACUCCUACGGGAGGCAGCAGUGGGGAAUAUUGCACAAUGGGCGAAAGCCUGAUGCAGCAACGCCGCGUGAAGGAAGAAGGGUUUCGGCUCGUAAACUUCUAUCAACAGGGACGAAAGAAAUGACGGUACCUGAAUAAGAAGCCCCGGCUAACUACGUGCCAGCAGCCGCGGUAAUACGUAGGGGGCAAGCGUUAUCCGGAUUUACUGGGUGUAAAGGGAGCGUAGACGGCAAUGCAAGCCAGAUGUGAAAGCCCGGGGCUCAACCCCGGGACUGCAUUUGGAACUGUGUAGCUGGAGUGUCGGAGAGGCAGGCGGAAUUCCUAGUGUAGCGGUGAAAUGCGUAGAUAUUAGGAGGAACACCAGUGGCGAAGGCGGCCUGCUGGACGAUGACUGACGUUGAGGCUCGAAAGCGUGGGGAGCAAACAGGAUUAGAUACCCGUGUA